rnacentral:rRNA from 1 species
UCCACCUCUUCCCAUUCCGAACAGAGAAGUUAAGCUUCGUCACGCCGAUGGUACUGCGCAAGUGGGAGAGUAGGUAGUCGCCGUUU